UAGGGGGAGGUUGGCAGCGUGUCUGAUACUGAGCUGAUGGCUGCGCACAGUACCAGCCAUGCCACCUCCCUCCCCCUACA
rnacentral:pre_miRNA from 1 species